UACGGAGGGUGCGAGCGUUGUCCGGAAUCACUGGGCGUAAAGGGCGCGUAGGCGGUUCUUCAAGCGUGUGGUGAAAGUCCGGGGCUCAACCCCGGAUCGGCCGUGCGAACUGGGGGACUCGAGCACUGUAGAGGCAGGUGGAAUUCCGGGUGUAGCGGUGGAAUGCGUAGAGAUCCGGAAGAACACCGGAGGCGAAGGCGGCCUGCUGGGCAGUGGCUGACGCUGAGGCGCGACAGCGUGGGGAGCAAACAGGAUUAGAUACCCCCGUAGUCC
rnacentral:rRNA from 1 species